rnacentral:tRNA from 1 species
GUGGGAAUAGCUUGGUGGUAGAGUGCAUACUUAGCAUGCGCGAGGGCCUGGGUUCAAUCCCCAGUACCUACA